CCUACGGGAGGCAGCAGUGGGGAAUAUUGGACAAUGGGCGAAAGCCUGAUCCAGCCAUGCCGCGUGUGUGAAGAAGGCCUUCGGGUUGUAAAGCACUUUCAGUGGGGAAGAAAGCCUUGGGGCUAAUACCCUCGAGGAAGGACAUCACCCACAGAAAAAGCACCGGCUAACUCCGUGCCAGCAGCCGCGGUAAUACGGAGGGUGCGAGCGUUAAUCGGAAUUACUGGGCGUAAAGCGCGCGUAGGCGGUCUGAUAAGCCGGUUGUGAAAGCCCCGGGCUCAACCUGGGAACGGCAUCCGGAACUGUCAGGCUAGAGUGCAGGAGAGGAAGGUAGAAUUCCCGGUGUAGCGGUGAAAUGCGUAGAGAUCGGGAGGAAUACCAGUGGCGAAGGCGGCCUUCUGGACUGACACUGACGCUGAGGUGCGAAAGCGUGGGUAGCAAACAGGAUUAGAUACCCCGGUAGUC
rnacentral:rRNA from 1 species